UAGAGCUGGGUGGAUCCAGAGGUUUCCUGACUCUGUCCAGUGCUCUAUUCACCUUUCUACAGAAACUCCUAACAAUACUGAAAGAGUAAAGUGUACGUUACUAUAUAUAUGUCAAGAUCAUGGGAGAUCUCCAAGCUGUGGAUGAAGUGGAUAUACAUAAAACAAGGCAGAAGUGAGUCCAGCUGGUGGAGAAAGAGUGGAGUGAAACAAGGCAAGGAGAGGAACAAUUUCCACUAAAAAUAAAAUUAUUCAAAACCAGUCUUCAAACCCUUCAGGAAAUUCUGGUGAGAAAAGAAGAUAAACAGGAGACUAGAGAGAUGGAUAUCCAGACACAAUAGGGAGUAGGUUGGACUGUAGCUUGAUGUUUCUGCUGAUGUAUUAGGGUAAGAAGCAUUUGAAUUCAAAGAUAAGUACAACUGAAAAACGGGAAGUGGAGACUUUUUAUCAAGUCUUGAACUAAAGGGGUAGGGGUUUUAACCAGCUAUAAGCUGACUCUCAGUUGUAUAGGUAGGUGUAAGAAAGUGAGGGUGGCUAUUCUGAGCAAGGGGAAUCAAGACAGGGACCAUGAGGGAAUGUCAGUUAUUGCAAAUACAGUGACAUUUCCAAGUAUUAGUGUCUUUGAGUGUUCAGAUAUCCUAAAAACAUAGAUUUACAUGAUUUUAACCCAUUAGAGAAAGCUGUAUUUUAAAACACAUAUUUAUUAUUAACUAAGUCUGAAAGACUAAACAAAAACAUCAAAAAGCAAUCAGAAAAGAAGUACUGACAUAUCACUAGUUAAAUGAAAUGUCACAAGUCAGAAAAGAGGGUGAUAAAACAAAAAAGGUUAGAAAAUAUUACUAUUUAUAUAUACAAAGGAAAUUUUGUUUGCUCUACAAAUAAGGGUAGACAUAAUUGGAUUAACUGCUUUUUUGAUAGGAAUGAUUCAUUGGAAACAUAGAUCAUAAAAAUUAUAACAGAAUUUAGAUAAGUUAAGAGGUUGAACAUAAAAAUAAAAAUCACUCAUUUUGUAUGUAUCUCUUGAGUACCUACUAUGUUCCAGUCACUAUUCUAAUCAUUGGGGUAUGUAAAGAAGAACAUAGACAU
rnacentral:lncRNA from 10 species